rnacentral:rRNA from 1 species
CAGUCGCCGCGGGAACACGAAGGGGGCUAGCGUUGUUCGGAUUUACUGGGCGUAAAGCGCACGUAGGCGGAUCGAUCAGUCAGGGGUGAAAUCCCAGAGCUCAACUCUGGAACUGCCUUUGAUACUGUCGAUCUGGAGUAUGGAAGAGGUGAGUGGAAUUCCGAGUGUAGAGGUGAAAUUCGUAGAUAUUCGGAGGAACACCAGUGGCGAAGGCGGCUCACUGGUCCAUUACUGACGCUGAGGUGCGAAAGCGUGGGGAGCAAACAGGAUUAGAGACCCCCGUAGUCCCUGUCUCUUAUAC